ACUCCUAUGCAGACAAAUCAGCUGCUUAUUUUAUAUGCUCCUCCAGCAUUAUAUUUUUGAAUAGUAUAUUUUUAAUUACACUAAUUCACUUAAUUGACACCAUGGCAGACACUGAUAAGAAUAAAGGGUCUGAAGUCUUCAGGGAACUGAAAAAAACUAGCAAAUCGAAAGACAAAGUCCUUCAACUCAUAAAAACUAAAAAUACACAUAAGUGUGACAUGUGUGACGAAACUUUUGCAAAACCAACAGACCUUAGAAUUCAUGUCAAACGACACAGGGAUGUUAAGGAUUAUUCUUGUGAAAUAUGUCACAAAACGUUUGUUACGGCUAAUGAGGUAAAUCAACAUCUAGUGAGUCAUUCGGACGAGAGAAAGUUUAGAUGUAUGCUUUGUAGUAAGGAUUACAAGAGAAAUAGGAAUCUUUUGACGCAUAUGCGGAUAAAACAUGCUGGAUCCUCUCAGAUUGAAAGUUUAUGCCAACACUGGAAACCUAAAAAUUGGACUGCGACCAUUUAAACCGGAGGAUUAUUACGAGAGUAACGGGGGGCUGUUCGCAAUAAUAAUGAAGAUUUGGGCUAAAGACAAUGUCAUCGGGAUAAGCGUCAGCAAGACGACGUAUGGGAAUACUGUUCUUGCAGCCAAAGAAAACAAAAAAACCAUGAAGUAUGCCACUCGAAACAACGUCACAAUGUUCAAAAAAGCCUGUUCGUCCAGAAUUCUCCUCCCAGAAGGAUUUGAAGUGAUCUGCGAGGAGACAUUAACCGUCCCGAUUCCUCCCUUCCAAGGAACCUUGUGCAGUUCAAACGGGAAGUGGGUGGUGCGGAACAUUCUGCAAAAGGUUUGCGUCGACACCUUCAUGCCGCCUGAAGCCAUCUCUUAUUUGAAAAGGAUGACCUCGACACGAUCAUCACUGCGGUGAACGAGUUGGUGAACUCGUUGGCCAUUGGUGACAAGGAGCUGGUCUUCAUUGACGAAGUCGAGGAAGGAGACCGUGAACUCGGUGAACCAGUUUUCAAUGGUGUGGGUAAACUGGACGGCGAAGGGGGAGCAAGAUUAGCAAAUUGGAGGAGGAGGUGGAAAUGCUGAAGGGAAAGUUGGAGGAUGAAGCCAGAGAGAAGGAAAUGUGGAGGGAAAAGUUCGAGGAAACUGUGAAAUUGAUGGUGUCUGUGAAGAGAGAGAAAGCGGUGCUACUGCGGGCUAAUUCUACAAAAAGGAACUAUAUUUCUGAGGACCCUGUUUCCUUCUCCAACAACCCGGUGAAGAGGAAGAAAUAAACUAUUAUUUACACGAUCGUGUACUUCCACGUAAAGGCUUAUCUCUACAUCCCAUUCACUCACCUACGUUAUACAAUAAUUAAUAUUUGUUAUCUAGUUAACACAGAAAUUUUGUAUUUGUUCGGAUUUGUCCACCAUUUGUGUAGUUUUCCAUUAGUUCAGUACUAUUUGUAAAUUCUAUUUUGAAGUUUCAAAUAUAAAACUCAAUUUACUUACCCGGA